rnacentral:lncRNA from 1 species
AGUUUGAAUUUUAUUGAAUUACAUAAAUGCUUUAUUAAUAUGAUCAUUUGAUUAUAGCAGAAUUGUAGUGGUUUUUAUAAAAUUAUUCUUAGUAGUUAUAUAAUUAUUCAUGGUUGUUAUAUUACCUUUAAUAGUUAUUGUUGUUGGAAAAAUAAUCUAGAAGUCCUUUGUUGGCUAAUGAUUCUCUAACAUUUUUUUAAAAAUUUUAUAGUAGUUGUAUUUUGAUUUGACAAUUUAGUUUAGUUUCUUUUAUUGACUCUUAUAGCUAAUUAAUAUUGACUUUCAUUAGAAUGUUGAUGAUGAUGUGAAUGAUGUGUUUUAAUGUUGAUUGUGUUGUGAUUCUAUUUUAUAAAAUAUUGUUUUAUGGUAAUCAUUAAUCAAUUGCUUUGUAUACACUCAUUUAUCAUAUUGCUGUAUGACAAAUCUUAAAGCCCUCUAAGAGAAAGGUUCCUGGGUUGCUUUGUGGAAAGUUUUAAACUCGCUCGCAAUGGUAAAGGAUGGAUCAAUGUGCUUUUAUGCAAGAAUUAUUAGUAAAUUCAUUUACGUGAAUUCUUAGUAUAAUUCUCUAGUUGAUUAUGACGAGUUUUUAACCUUUUCAGCUUAUGGCUGGUUCCCUAACAUUUCUUUUGCCUAUGGAUGAUAUGAAAAGCCCAACAAUCAAGGGCUCAACAUAAAGAAAGUCUUUUUUGAGUUUCCCUUCUAUUAUUCUUUUUGCUGGUAUUGAUAACAUAAGGAUUGAACUAUGAUGUGUUUAUCUGCAAUGGUGUUUGGAUUAGUUGGGUAACAUCGCAUAGUCAUCUUAUCAAAUUUCUAUACUUUGUCUUAAUAAGAGUGUUUAUUGUUUCCUUCAAUUUUUGGACUAUCGUUUCCUUCAAUUAAAUUUGGUGUUUGUGUUCAUUCCUUUUCAGCAAGUCCUGAGUCUUUGAGAUUUCUUUUGGUGGUUGAGGAACUACAGAAUGGUUGUAGAUCAGGAUAUCCUAAUUUCUCUAUACUUGAUCACCGAACAUUGAAUAGUGAUUUGUUCUUAUGCAGUAAACAUAAGGAUUUAAUUUUGAUUAUUUUCGUAUAAUGUCCUUUAUCUCAUGGAGUAUGUUAUGUGGCAUAAUAGUUUAAUUGUAAUUUGCUUCUUUGCAGCGUGAAAUUGGCUUACCGUAUUGCAUCUUAUGGGGUAUGUUAUGAGUGACCGUGUCUCCCUUAAUUUUUUAAUUUAUCUAAUAGUCCUUUAUUACCUGUUAUAGUUUUGUUGAAUUAUUGUUCUUUAUAGGGAUGUGUGGUAAUUAGCAAGAGCUCAGGACUAUUUGGUUUCAAUUUUUUUAUAACAAAACUUUAUUUUGCCUUUAUUAGUUUCCUUCAUUGACAAAUGAAUUUUGAACUUGGUUCUUGCAAAGCAUCAAUGUCCUUGCCUAAUUUGUGUUUCAAGAUUAUUGAUCUUUCGUAUUGAAGUUCUGAAAAUUUAGGUGGAGCAGUAUUGAAAAGAUGGAUCUUGAAGUUAUUCCUUUCAUUUUAGUAGUGUAAUUAGCAAGAGCUCAGGAUUAUUUGCCUCCAUUCUUUGAUUACAGAACUUUUUAUUUUGUUUGUUCCUGCAUCGACAAAUGAAUUUUGAACUUGUUCUUGCAUAAUUUAUCAUUGGGAGGAAAUGAAUUGGUGGUUUAGGUUUGGGAAACAGUGGAUCGGGACCCUGUGGAAAUUUAGGUUUUGUUCUAUGUUUAUUAUUUCUUUGCUGUUAUUAUUCACGGAUAAACUUGUGGACUGGGAAUGUUUACCUCUAUAUGACAGGCACUGUAAACGUCUGUGUCAGCUAUUUAAUUUUCUCUUUCUUGUCCACACUCAGACAUUUCUUUCAGCAACUGAGUCAUUUAAAAGAGAGUUUCGUUUCUUUUCAUGUUCUUUAUUGUCAAAAUAACCUUUCUUUCUUUCUUAUCAGCUAUAGUAUUUAGUUUCACUGUGAUCUCGGGAUGUGUUAUUUGGAAGUGAUGUGGUUAUUCAUCCAAGGAUUAAUGUGUUAUUUGGAAGUGAUGUGGUUAUUCAUUCAAGGAUUGAGUUCCAUUCUCUUCGACUUGCUUUUGUUUGUUGUGUUCAUUGCUAUCAAACAACUUUCUUCCUUUUAAAUGUAUGGAGUCUAUUUUUUUAAGAUGAAAUCCCCACUAAAUGUAAUGUUUUUUUUUUCUUUCUUUUUCAUCAUUGCCUAGUUAUUUCUGUUUCUCAUAGGCUUGGUCUCAUCCCUUCAACUUGCAUUUGUUUGUGUUCAUUGCUAUCAAACAGCUUUCUUCUUUUUAAAUGUAUGGAGCCUUUUUUGCUACGUCUAGAUGUUGAUUUUCUUGUGUUCAUUCAUUUUUAGGUGUUGAUUUGUUCGUGUUAAUUCCUUUUUAGCAUCUCGAGACUGCCGGAAUGGUUGAGGAUUAAAAUCUGAAAUUGUUUAGAACCACCAAUAAUUCAGGAUAACCUUCAACUUUGUUUUAGGUGUCAUUUGUUUUAUGUCUCUCUUUGUUUUAAAUGUCUUAUUGUCUCUAUACUUCAACUUUAUGAGCCGUUUGUAGCCUUCCUGAAUUCUUGGGGUGUACAGGACAAACAUGCAACAGAUGUGAGGUAGGAAAGAUGUGAGUAUCCUUGAAGCUUGAAUACUGGCAGGAGAUCCUUGAAGCUUUAGGUUUUGGUAUCCACACAUAUUUUUGUCUUUAAUUGGGACUGGCUAUUUGAAUUUCUCUGGUUUUUGAAUUCCUUCAAUUCAUUAAUUCAUUUUGUCCUUUCUUAAAUUCUGGGUCUUUAUUACCAAUAUCUAUUUGAAUUUAAAUAUAGUUCUUAAAUUUUUUAUGUAUAGGUGUUGAUUCGUUUGUGUUCAUUCCUUUUUAGCAUGUAAGACUGGUUGAGGAUUAAAAUCUGCAACUGUACACGAAAAAACAAGCAACGGAUGUGAGCUAGGAUAUCUGAAUACUGGAAGGACAUGCUUGAUUCUAUAGGUUAUCCAUACUCUUUGAUGACAGAUGUCUACUUGAGUUUGGAUGUAGUUAUUUAUUUGAUGACUGAGAUCUAUCAUAUGUAACUGUUUAUCUGCUUGUGUUAGUUCCUUUUCAGCAGGGGAUUCUGGUUUAGGAUAAAAAAACAUAAAUUUGAAUAUUGUUCUUGUCCGAUUAUCAAAAUAUGUAAAACCUAGCUAUUUGAUGUUGAUUCUUUUUUAGCACAUUAAAGGUUAAUAAUAAUACAAUACUCAGGGAAGAUGUCUCCUCUUUAUUUGAAACUUUGUAGAUUGAGCAUAUUUUUCGAGACUGAUAUAUGAGGUAGGAUGUGGAAACACUGGGAUUUGUGAAGCUUUAGGUUUUGUUAUCCUUACAUUUCUUAUGUUUUUAUUUGUGACUAACUAAACUUCUUGUUUGGAUGCUAAGUUUUGGUUGGAUUCAUUGCAGACCUUGUAGUGUGUCUGACAGUUCUUAUUGGUGUAUAUGUAGCAAUCACUAGCAGACUAUUAGAGGUCCUGUAAUUUGGGGAGGAUUUGUCUGACAGAAUUUCUAACAACUUAAUAUGAAGUACUGAAUUAAUAGUGAAAAAAAAGAUAAAGAAAAAAUAUCAUGGCCAUUAAAAGUUUAUGUUUCUUGUCCUGUUCAGCCAUGGCACUUGUCAGUGAGCUCUUGCUUCUUUCUCUAUUGCCCCAUAUGCAUACUUUUUCGCAUUUCUUACUCUUUUUUUAAGUUGUUCAUUUUUAAGUAAUUUAGGCUUCUCAUACUGGUUUCAUAGUGAAAUUUGAGCCUUUUACAUGGUGCCAUUGAAAUUAAGGAGGGAAUUAAUGAUCUUUAGUUUUAUAGUACUGAAUUAAUUUGGAUUUGCUUAGGUGUAGCAAAUUUGAAAGGUCAUUUUCUUAGUUAUUACUUCAUUUACUAAAUUAUCAAGAGCAUUGAACAAUUUGAUUUUGUAGUGUUUUGUUUGCUGCCUUGACAAAUGAAUCUUGCAUUCUAUUGUUUUUAGUAAUUUUGGGUUACAUUCUGAAUAUGACAUAUGAUGAUCUCUUAUAUCUUCCAAAAUGAGAAUGAUCUCCAACAUUAGAGCUGUAUUUAGUUCUAUCUCCAAUGUGAGAAUGAGAAAAUUGAGAGCUGUAUUUAGUUUUAUCUCCAAUUAUCUCUAAUAUUAGAAUGAGAAACAACAGUAGUUGAAAUGUUUUCUUGUAAUCUAUCUUCGUGUGCUAUGAUUCAGUUCUCUCUCCAUAUAUGAGAAUAAAAAAUGAGAAAGAGAAACAACAUUAUUUGGAAUGUUUUGUCGUAAUCUUCUUGCACUAUGAUUUUGUUCUCUCCCAAUAUGCGAAUGAGAAAAUGAAAAACAACAGUAUUUAGAAAGUUUUGUCGUAAUCUUGCGCUAUGAUUUGGUUCUCUCCUCAAUAUGCAAUGAGAAGAUGAGAAACAACAUUCCUUAACUUGUAAUUGAUUUUAUAUUAAUUGUUUAACUAUUCACUUCAUGUUUUUCUAAUUUGAAGAUAUCUCUUUACUAAAAACAAUGUAAUUAAUUUUAUAUUAAUUGUUUAGCUAUUCA